CACCAAGAAGUUAGGUCAUAUUUUUACGGUAAAAAGACAGUUAAACUUCCUAAAUUAUGGGUUUCUUGACUACUUAUAAAAAAGUAAAAUUUGAAUAUAAGUAUGUAAUUCUGUAGUAACUUAAAAGUUGAAUCUGUGACAGCCUUGGGGGAAACUGGGAUUAGAUACCCCAUUAUUCUUGGCUAUAAAUUAAAUGGGAUUUACCAGGGUACUAUGAAUAUUUAAAAUUUAAAACUCAAAGGGCUUGGCGGUGUUUUAGACCCCUCAGGGGAACCUGUCCCGUAAUCGAUGAUCCACGCAGUACCUGACCUCUUUUUGUAAUUUUCAGCCUGUAUACCGUUGUCGUCAGGUAACUUUUUAGAAAUUAGGAGUUAGCUAAAAAUAGCAAUAAAUUAGUACGUCAAAUCAAGGUGCAGCCCAUAAAGAGGAGAGGAUGGGUUACAAUUAUAUAGUCAUAACUACGAAAAACUAUCUGAAUUGAUAAUAUAAAGGAGGACUUGAAAGUAAAUUAGAAUAUAAAAAUAAUUUGAAUAAGGCUCUGAAAUGUGU
rnacentral:rRNA from 1 species